GAACUCCUACGGGGGGCAGCAGUGGGGAAUAUUGCACAAUGGGGGAAACCUUGAUGCAGCAACGCCGCGUGAGUGAAGAAGUAUCUCGGUAUGUAAAGCUCUAUCAGCAGGGAAGAAAAUGACGGUACCUGACUAAGAAGCCCAGGCUAACUACGUGCCAGCAGCCGCGGUAAUACGUAGGGGGCAAGCGUUAUCCGGAUUUACUGGGUGUAAGGGGAGCGUAGACGGUGUGGCAGGUCUGAAGUGAAAGCCCGGGGCUCAACCCCGGGACUGCCUUG
rnacentral:rRNA from 1 species